rnacentral:lncRNA from 1 species
UAAAGAUAUACAGAUACUUCAGGGCAUUCCCCGUCCAAAUAGUACAAUUGAUCCAAAAGUGAUAAAACAAAACCGUUCAACACACAUUUCAACAUUCACCACAUUGAAUCAACACCUCACUCCUAACUUUUGCCUACCCGCACCUAAAUAUUUUUGCCUAUCCAAUUCGACCUAUCAGGAUACUAUCAAGCUCGAUAUCAAUGAAUCAAAUCAACAAAAUCAUUUUUAUCAACUUUUAACUUCCGCCCCACAAUAAUCAAUUUUAAUUCUCAAACGAGAUAUCAUUUCAUGACACACCUUAUAAUCAAUCCAUAAUCAAAGAAAUCAAACACCGAGUCAAAACAAAC